rnacentral:lncRNA from 1 species
GUGUAAGAGAUUGUGGGCCAAGGUUGGGUGGAGACAGAUGGGGAAAUGCUAAUGUUUGUAAUUUUGGUGAAAAGGGGGACCCAGAGAAUAAUGGGUUCCAAGGUGGGAACUCGGGUGUGUCGAGGAUGGGAACGAAGCCAGAGACCAGAGGUACAAUUACUUCUGACACUCUUCACAGGACCACCUGACAUGGUUAAACAGCCCUGGCUUAACGUUCCAGACACUGCUGCCAAUACUUGCGGCUGUUAGUUCCUGAUUUCUGCUUAAGGCUUCUGUAACAAGUGCCCAGACCUUGGCACAACUGACUCCAUGAUUGAAGUACCAUUCAGGCCAUUAAACUCAGCACAUAGAUGGUACCACCUGCCAAAAUGAAAACAAAGACCUGAUCCAUCAAAGUCCAUAGUGAUGGAAAUGCCCCUAAAUGACUAACCUUGCUCUUUUUUACUUCUUUAAUUCUGCUUCUGACUAAAUGUGCUUGUUAACUGAAGUGUGUCAACCCGGGAUUUUUUUUUUUUCAUAAAGGCUUGGUGGUACACUGGGAUCCUGAAUACCAAGUAUGCUCUCCAGCCAGCUGAUAAAGAUUUCUAUUGGCUUAAAUUUUAAUCCAGGCAGUGUUCUCUGUUGGAUACCCCACAAUAAUUUCCAUUAGCUUUUAUGUAGAAAUUCUACUUCUCCAAAGAAACCCUGUCUCGAAAAAAAAAUUUUUAAUUAAAUAAAUAAAUUCUACUUC